UGCGUAGGCGGCGUCAUAAGUCAGGGGUGAAAGCCCACAGCUCAACUGUGGAAUUGCCUUUGAUACUGUGGUGCUUGAAUCAGGUUGAGGUGGGCGGAAUGUGGCAUGUAGCGGUGAAAUGCUUAGAUAUGCCAUAGAACACCGAUUGCGAAGGCAGCUUACUGGACCUGCAUUGACGCUGAGGCACGAAAGCGUGGGGCGCGAACAGGAUUAGAUACCCUGGUAGUCC
rnacentral:rRNA from 1 species